rnacentral:rRNA from 1 species
CAGUAGCCGCGGUAAAACGUAGGGUGCGAGCGUUGUCCGGAAUUAUUGGGCGUAAAGAGCUUGUAGGCGGUCUGUCGCGUCUGCUGUGAAAACCCGAGGCUCAACCUCGGGCCUGCAGUGGGUACGGGCAGACUAGAGUGCGGUAGGGGAGAACGGAACUCCUGGUGUAGCGGUGGAAUGCGCAGAUAUCAGGAAGAACACCGAUGGCGAAGGCAGUUCUCUGGGCCGUAACUGACGCUGAGAAGCGAAAGCGUGGGGAGCGAACAGGAUUAGAUACCCCGGUAGUCCCUGUCUCUUAUAA